ACGCUCGACACCUACGGAAGGCAGCAGUGGGGAAUAUUGGGCAAUGGGCGCAAGCCUGACCCAGCAACGCCGCGUGAAGGAAGAAGGCUUUCGGGUUGUAAACUUCUUUUAUUAAGGACGAAGCAAUGACGGUACUUAAUGAAUAAGCUCCGGCUAAUUACGUGCCAGCAGCCACGGUAAUCUGAGCGGGCUGGCAAGGC
rnacentral:rRNA from 1 species